UGUGGCUGCAUCAGGGCAGUUGGUAGAUGCCCCUCUGGGAGAGAUCCCCAGGGGUGACAGCCAUGGACCCUGGAAGGGCCUGGGCUAGGGACAGGGACCAGAGCCAGUCCAGGGAGAGGACAGAGCCAGUGGACUGGGGUGCACUGUAACAGCCCUGCUGGUGAGAGGGACCAGGGCACCGUCCUCCAAGGAGCCCACGCUGCAAGUCGGGCCAGAGGUGCCGCUGACCCUGAGGGCCAAUGAGACCCAAGACAGGCCAAGUGGGUUGUGAGACCCCUGAGGAGCUGGGCCCUGGUCCCAGGCAGCGCUGGCCCCUGCUGCUGCUGGGUCUGGCCAUGGUCGCCCAUGGCCUGCUGUGCCCAAUGGCUGCACCGCAGAGCGGGGACCCAGACCCUGGAACCUCAGUUGGAAGCAGCCGAUCCAGCCUGCGAAGCCUGUGGGGCAGGUCAGCCCAAGGCCAACCCCACAGUCACUCUGUUCCCACCCUCCUCUGAGGAGCUCCAAGCCAACAAGGCCACACUAGUGUGUCUGAUCAGUGACUUCUACCUGGAAGCCGUGACAGUGGCCUGGAAGGCAGAUGGCAACCCCGUCAAGGCGGGAGUGGAGACCACCAAACCCUCCAAACAGAGCAACAACAAGUACAUGGCCAGCAGCUACCUGAGCCUGACUCCUGAGCAGUGGAAGUCCCACAGAAGCUACAGCUGCCAGGUCACGCACGAAGGGAGCACCAUGGAGAAGACAGUGGCCCCUGCAGAAUGCUCAUAGGUUCCCAACCCGCACUCCACCCACGGGAGCCUGGAGCUGCAGGAUCCCAGGGGAGGGGUCUCUCUCCCCAUCCCAAGUCAUCCAGCCCUUCUCCCUGCACUCAUGAAACCCCAAUAAAUAUCCUCAUUGACAACCAGAAAAAUUGUUUCAUCUCAUUUUUUCUCUUCUCACAUAAAUUCCUAGCCUCCCCGGGGUUCUCAGUGUGGGGUACAGGGAAUUCUGCACCCAGUGUGAAAAUCACCCAAGGGAGAAGGCUCACAGUCUCCCUGAGUCAUCUCCACAGAGGGUCCUUCCUUGCCCAGUCACCCCUUCCCCAACUCUCCACUGUACCCCUGAGCCACCAGUCUGGCAUCAGUUCAGACCAGUCCCACACCCUCCUCAAUUUUACUUCUCAAUAAAUACCUGAUCAUGUAAAACCCA